rnacentral:lncRNA from 1 species
UAAAAAUGCUCUGCCAAAAAGCCACCUACACUACGAGAGAAAAAACUCUUUUUCACUUUCAGAGCGAUCCAGUGUAGGUGGGUUCAUGCCAUUCCCGUGCACUUGCGUGGAACAUUCAAUCACAAUAGUUCGAUCUGCUUACUUUCCACUCCUUCACGUUGACCAGAGAUCCAGCUAAUCAGACCAAGAAAAGUGUCCCAACUACGAUACAUCGUGCCACGUGGGAUUACUACACCCACUGGAACACGGGUUCUAGUGAAGUCGUGUACACAGAAACAUCCGCGCACCCUCCUUAGCCAUCCAACACGAACACGCCACGUGUCCAGAUUC